rnacentral:rRNA from 1 species
GACGAACGCUGGCGGCGUGCCUAAUACAUGCAAGUAGAACGCUGAAGGAGGAGCUUGCUUCUCCGGAUGAGUUGCGAACGGGUGAGUAACGCGUAGGUAACCUGCCUUGUAGCGGGGGAUAACUAUUGGAAACGAUAGCUAAUACCGCAUAAGAGUAGAUGUCGCAUGACAUUUGCUUAAAAGGUGCAACUGCACCACUACCAGAUGGACCUGCGUUGUAUUAGCUAGUUGGUGAGGUAACGGCUCACCAAGGCAACGAUACAUAGCCGACCUGAGAGGGUGAUCGGCCACACUGGGACUGAGACACGGCCCAGACUCCUACGGGAGGCAGCAGUAGGGAAUCUUCGGAAAUGGGCGGAAGUCUGACCGAGCAACGCCGCGUGAGUGAAGAAGGUUUUCGGAUCGUAAAGCUCUGUUGUAAGAGAAGAACGAGUGUGAGAGUGGAAAGUUCACACUGUGACGGUAUCUUACCAGAAAGGGACGGCUAACUACGUG